AGGUGAAGUUCCUGGUUGUGAAUAUCCAAGACGAGGCCGAAGGUAAGAUAAACGAGCAUAAAUGCAAAAGCACCUAAAAAAUAAAUUACGAACCAAAAAAUGUAUUUACUUCGUAAAAAGUUUGCAUUGUGACAGGACCUCAGCUGACCGACCGACGACACGUCUGCACUCAGCACGAUUUGACCGUGUUAUGUUUUGCCCAUGCGCAAAGGAAAGACUGGAGUGAAAAUGAAAGUAGAUCCAAAAGCACAUGUGUAAACACAGGGGAGCAAUUAUUAUAGCUGUUCACGAAUAAAAGUGACAAUAGAUAAGUACAGUUGUUGGCGAAUUGUAAAAUUAAAUCGUUUUAUAUUGCUUUAGAGUGUCAGCAGUAGGAACAUCGAUAUUUCGGACAAUGCCAGUUAUUGUGACGAUGAUGAAACCGAGCACCUGGAGCACAUCAUGAACAUGUACAGAUACUAAUCAAAUAAAUGAGAUCAUGAACGAGAUGCUAUGUUUGGAUCUUCUGGUUAUAAGGAUGAUGAUAAUGGUGAAAGUGAUGAAGAAGAGGCGGCCGGCUGGGGGGCGAUGAAUAUAAGAUGUGGAAAGAUAUAUCAAGGAAUACUGAUGAAUAUGACAAGAUGGAGGUGGAUACCCUUUCAGAUAGAUGAUUUAUUGUUGGAGAGAGGGAAAUAUUGGACCUGCUUAAAAGGAGCAUGUUUCAAAGAGUAAAGUGGACCAAUACUCCGCUCUUGUUGAGGCAGAGAAAAUAGCUGCAGGAGUAGAGUAUUAAUUUACCUGCACAGUACAUAUGAGGGUCAUGUAGGAAAAUGGAUGUCUACACAAUUUUAUGGAGAGAGAAAUGCUGUUGCAAUCCUGCUGCAACUUCUGGUCCUUCAUUUUGGGGUAUCAUGGGAUCAGUUUACCGUUGGUGCCAAAGAAUCUUUAUUGAUCUUGCAUAAGGAUAAGCAAGACAAUUCUACAGAAUGCAACUUCAGUACAGAGAAUUAGGUUGCUGUGCAGUAGAUUUACCAGCAGUAAUAGAGAAACAGAAAACCAAGCAGUGGAUUGUGUAUAAAAAGAAGUCAAUUAAAGAAUACACAUAUAUUGCAGAACUUGAAGGAAGUAUAUUGGAGUCCUUGUGCAUGUAAUACAAGAGUAAGAAUUCCAAAGACCAUGACAGCAUCUCUGCCAAUUUAUCAGGCCUCCUAAAUCCUGGAUCAAGGCUUUUACUUUCAGAAAUGAAAAAAAAAGAAAAAAGUGUGCUGCUGCCUCUAGAAAAUGAUUUCUGCUUGGAAGUGUCCCCUGGUGACAUUGAUUGUGCUCUGGCUAGCAUAAGGGUAGUAA